AAUAGGUCACUUAUAUAGUUUAAGUGUGGAUUUGACUUUUCGACUAUAGUUUGAGGUGGAAACAAUGUCUUUUCCCAACAGAUAACUCCCCAUUUUUGGCAAUUGGUUGGUGCAACGUCAAGCAACCUGAAAUACAUAAGGGAGGAUAAGAUAGCCUACAAGAAAAUUAAUUUUGUAACUUAAGACAUCAAGUUUAAUUUAGAAAUCAUUCAUAGCAGGGCAUACACAGGAAAGAAAGAAAUUUAAAAGAAAAUAAUACUCAGCUGCAUAUGAGGAUACCUAUGCUGCAUAUUCCAUGUCACAAAGUUUCAGUGAAUCUGUUGUUGCUAUAUAUAUCAAUUGAUGGCAAAUGAUAUUCAUUGACUUAGGAACUUAAGAGUUACUCUAAAACGUUGGGAGAGGGAAACCUUUUUGGCUGUACAAAUAAAUUUAAUACAAAUUAAUAUGGAUAAUUAUAGACUUAGAUUAAUUUAAUUAAUGAAUGAAAAAGAGAAAAAGAGAAAAAUUGAAAAAAAUAAUGAAAAAAUCAAAAAAUGGAAAAAGCAUACCACAUCAGGAUGUUUAUAACUCUUCUUUUUAUAUAUAUAUAUAUAUAUAUAUAUAUAUAUACUUUUGAUUCUUAUAAUUUUAAACAAAUACGUGUAUUAUGACAAAAACAUAUAUACCCUUUAAAUCUUGUAAUACUAAACACGCAUGUUAUAUCAUUUCUACAAGUACACGUCAUUAAAGCUAUAAGAAAAGUUAGAACAAGAAACUUACAAAGGGUUAGGUGAUGAGUGGUAAAUUUACCGCUCAUUUACCUCCAAAUGCAACUUACAAAGGGUUAGGUGAUGUGUGGUAAAUUUACCGCUCAUUUACCUCCAAAUGCGUACACACUACUAUGAUUUAAUGGUAUGAAUGAGACAACUUUGGCAUUUGAAUGCACUAAUUCUCAUAUUUUGCAGGUAUACAGGUGAUGAAAAGAAAAGAAGUGAAAUAGGCUAAAAAGAGAUAAAAAAAGGGAAGAGAAGUGCAAAAGCUGGAAAAGCAGGAGCAGGAUCUGACCUCAGUUACUGUGAUCGCGGUCUGAGGGCCAUGAUCAUAGACAUUCAAGAUUAGUCAGAGCCAACGAUUGUGAAGGAUUCACCACAAUCGCGGGAGUCGCGAUCGUGAUCAAGAUGGGGCAAUCGCGGCAGCGGGGGUUUAUGCCAAAGGGCAGAUUUGUAAUUUCAUAAAAUUGACCCCAAAUCCCAUAUAGAGCAAAAAUCCUUUCAUUUUUGGGCAUCUUCCCAACUAAAAUUGAGCUUGGAGAAAUUUGAAACCCUGUCUAAUUGGGAAACUUAUUGUGGCAAAUUUCUCACGCGAUUUUGAUUGUAAUUGAAGUUGGCUAUUGAAGAAUACUCUUGUUUGCUUCUUCAAUGGAAGCAUUGAAUGAUCAUUUUGGCAUAAUUCUUUUCCCUAACUUCAUGAGUAGCUAAACAUUUAUCUUGGGAUUAUAUUGAAAUCGGGUGCAAAUAUGUGUGGGUUGUGAUUUAUUAGUGUAGUUUCUUAGUUAUUGAUGAUGGGUUUCACUAAUGCUUGCUUUGAGUUGGGAUUUGUGAGUGAAAACUUCAAAUUCCCAAUACAUCAUCCUUGAAAGAGGGACAUGAGUAUACUUUUGGAUCUUAUAUCAUCCUUGAAAGAGGGAUAUGGGUGACAAAGCAUUAGUGAACAAUAGUUAGAUAUAGCUUAUUUCAUUUUCAUUAUCUUACAAAUAAAGGUGGAUUGAGAAUUAACUAGGUCUUGGGCAUCUUUCUAGAAAUAGGGAUGCCCAAUUGAGGUGUUGGGUGUAUUUUCUUGCCACAUCCAUGAGGUAUCCGAAAAGGUCCUUGGGUGUUAAUCUUGAGGUUUUGUUGACAAAUUAGCAUCAAGAGCCCCUAACCUAGCCUACUCAUGUAGUUGUUAACUAGAAUUUGCAUUCCAUUCUCAUGAAACAAUGCAUUAUUUGCCCCUAGGAAGACAUAAUCCCAAG
rnacentral:lncRNA from 1 species